UACGUAGGGGGCAAGCGUUGUCCGGAUUUAUUGGGCGUAAAGAGCGUGUGGGCGGCCAAGCAGGUCAGCUGUGAAAACUCGAGGCUCAACCUCGAGACGUCGGUUGAAACCGCUUGGCUAGAGUCCGGAAGAGGAGAGUGGAAUUCCUGGUGUAGCGGUGAAAUGCGCAGAUAUCAGGAGGAACACCGGUGGCGAAGGCGGUUCUCUGGGCCUGUACUGACGCUGGAGGAGCGAAAGCCGUGGGGAGCAAACAGG
rnacentral:rRNA from 1 species